UUCGGGUCGCCGGCGAGUGGCAAACGGGUGAGUAACGCGCGGAUACCUGUCCUGUGGUGGGGAAUAACGUUUAGAAAUGAACGCUAAUACCGCAUAAGCCCUGCGGGGGAAAGAUUUAUCGCCAUAGGAGGGGUCCGCGUCGGAUUAGCUAGUUGGUGGGGUAACGGCCUACCAAGGCGACGAUCCGUAGCUGGUCUGAGAGGAUGAUCAGCCACACUGGGACUGAGACACGGCCCAGACUCCUACGGGAGGCAGCAGUGGGGAAUAUUGCGCAAUGGAGGAAACUCUGACGCAGCGACGCCGCGUGGGUGAAGAAGGCCUUAGGGUUGUAAAGCCCUUUCAGUGGGAAAGAUGAUGACGGUACCCACAGAAGAAGCCCCGGCUAACUCCGUGCCAGCAGCCGCGGUAAUACGGAGGGGGCCAGCGUUGUUCGGAAUUACUGGGCGUAAAGGGCGCGUAGGCGGUUGAUCAAG
rnacentral:rRNA from 1 species